UACGAAGGGGGCUAGCGUUGUUCGGAAUUACUGGGCGUAAAGCGCGCGCAGGCGGUCUUCCAAGUCAGUGGUGAAAGCCCGGAGCUCAACCCCGGAACUGCCAUUGAAACUGUAAGACUUGAGGAUGAGAGAGGUGAGUGGAAUUCCCAGUGUAGAGGUGAAAUUCGUAGAUAUUGGGAAGAACACCGGUGGCGAAGGCGGCUCACUGGCUCAUUACUGACGCUCAGGCGCGACAGCGUGGGGAUCAAACAGG
rnacentral:rRNA from 1 species